UACGGAGGGAGCUAGCGUUGUUCGGAAUUACUGGGCGUAAAGCGCGCGUAGGCGGCUUUGUAAGUUAGAGGUGAAAGCCCGGGGCUCAACCCCGGAACUGCCUUUAAGACUGCAUCGCUUGAAUCCGGGAGAGGUGAGUGGAAUUCCGAGUGUAGAGGUGAAAUUCGUAGAUAUUCGGAAGAACACCAGUGGCGAAGGCGGCUCACUGGCCCGUUACCGACGCUCAGGCGCGACAGCGUGGGGAGCAAACAGG
rnacentral:rRNA from 1 species